UGACAAUCCAGAUGGAUCGGUAGCAAUCAGAAAGCUGAUUCCACAUCAGCUUUUGCCAUCAACGCUCUACGUCCUGCCCACCGAACCAACUCGACCGAUUGGUCGAAUGAUGCAUAGGAGACAGAACACAGGGCCACAUCAAUGUCAUCAUUCACUGAUGUAAUAUUUGUAGGUUUUGUAUGUUUUUUUCUGUGCUUGGAGAUAAUUGGAUUAGAA